AAAGCUCUCUUCGGAGAGUGUAUAAAGUGGCGCACGGGUGAGUAACACGUAAGUAAUCUACCUUUGGGUGGGGAAUAACUCAAGGAAACUUGAGCUAAUACCGCAUAAUGCAGCGGCUCCUUCGGGAGACAGUUGUUAAAGCAUUUAUGCGCCUAAAGAGGAGCUUGCGGCAGAUUAGCUAGUUGGUAAGGUAAUGGCUUACCAAGGCGACGAUCUGUAGCCGGCCUGAGAGGGCGGUCGGUCACACUGACACUGAAUAACGGGUCAGACUCCUACGGGAGGCAGCAGUCGGGAAUUUUGGGCAAUGGGCGAAAGCCUGACCCAGCAACGCCGCGUGAAGGAUGAAGUCCCUCGGGAUGUAAACUUCGGAAACAUGGGAAGAAUAAAUGACGGUACCAUGUCUAAGCUCCGGCUAACUACGUGCCAGCAGCCGCGGUAAUACGUAGGGAGCAAGCGUCGUUCGGAUUUACUGGGCGUAAAGGGUGCGUAGGCGGCGCGUCAAGUCACUUGUGAAAUCUCCGGGCUUAACUCGGAACGGCCAAGUGAUACUGUCGUGCUAGAGUGCGGAAUGGGCAACUGGGAUUCUUGGUGUAGCGGUGAAAUGCGUAGAUAUCAAGAGGAACACCUGAGGCGAAGGCGAGUUGCUGGGCCGACACUGACGCUGAGGCACGAAAGCCAGGGGAGCGAACGGGAUUAGGUACCCCGGUAGUCCUGGCCCUAAACGAUGAAUGCUUGGUGUCUGGAGUUAUAAUUCUCCGGGUGCCGUCGUUAACGCUUUUAGCAUUCCGCCUGGGGAGUACG
rnacentral:rRNA from 1 species